rnacentral:rRNA from 1 species
UACGUAGGGUGCGAGCGUUACUCGGAAUUACUGGGCGUAAAGCGUGCGCAGGCGGUUCGUUGUGUCUGAUGUGAAAGCCCCGGGCUCAACCUGGGAAUGGCAUUGGAAACUGGCGAGCUGGAGUGUGGCAGAGGGGGGUGGAAUUCCGCGUGUAGCAGUGAAAUGCGUAGAGAUGCGGAGGAACACCGAUGGCGAAGGCAGCCCCCUGGGCCAACACUGACGCUCAGGCACGAAAGCGUGGGGAGCAAACAGG